UACGGGGGGGGCAAGCGUUGUUCGGAAUUACUGGGCGUAAAGGGCUCGUAGGCGGCCAACUAAGUCGGAUGUGAAAUCCCCAGGCUCAACUUGGGAACUGCAUCCGAUACUGGAUGGCUUGAAUUCGGGAGAGGGAUGCAGAAUUCCAGGUGUAGCGGUGAAAUGCGUAGAUAUCAGGAGGAACACCGGUGGCGAAGGCGGGUCUCUGGGCAACAACUGACGCUGAGGAGCGAAAGCGUGGGGAGCGAACAGG
rnacentral:rRNA from 1 species